UGAUGCUUAUGAUGAAUUGUAUUGUGUCAUCUAAAUUUGAUUAUAAUAUGAUAUUACUAUACACUGAAGCAUCA